UACGGUGUUCGCUUUGUAAGCGAAUGAUCCUGGGUUCGAUUCCCAUCUGCUCCA
rnacentral:tRNA from 1 species